GAACGCUAGCUACAGGCUUAACACAUGCAAGUCGAGGGGCAGCAUGGUCUUAGCUUGCUAAGGCCGAUGGCGACCGGCGCACGGGUGAGUAACACGUAUCCAACCUGCCGUCUACUCUUGGACAGCCUUCUGAAAGGAAGAUUAAUACAAGAUGGCAUCAUGAGUUCACAUGUUCACAUGAUUAAAGGUAUUCCGGUAGACGAUGGGGAUGCGUUCCAUUAGGUUGUUGGCGGGGUAACGGCCCACCAAGCCUUCGAUGGAUAGGGGUUCUGAGAGGAAGGUCCCCCACAUUGGAACUGAGACACGGUCCAAACUCCUACGGGAGGCAGCAGUGAGGAAUAUUGGUCAAUGGACGAGAGUCUGAACCAGCCAAGUAGCGUGAAGGAUGACUGCCCUAUGGGUUGUAAACUUCUUUUAUACGGGAAUAAAGUGAGGUACGUGUGCCUUUUUGUAUGUACCGUAUGAAUAAGGAUCGGCUAACUCCGUG
rnacentral:rRNA from 1 species